GACUCAUAUUCUCGCUGCCUGCCUUUGACCCAUGCCUGGUAAAUCACUCUGUGUCUGUUUGCCGCCAGCCUUGAAACCUUUAAUACUACUGUUGAUGUGUUUGCACCUUUGUGCAUAUUGUGUGUUUGAGUGAGAGCGUGAUUAAUAAAUACUGCAUAAUGGAUCCCUCCGUGUCAGUCUCCUCGUUACACAGACAGGUUGACAAACAACUGACGAAAGAAGAGAGACCAUUCAAUAGAGGACUUCUAGAUGUAUCCAUAAUCCUGAAACAGACCGUAUCAUGAGCAGAUGCAGUGGUGGUCAUGGAGGAGUGGAGAGCAUGAGACUGAUUAAUGAAAGACCCCAGUGACAGAUGAGUGCCCACAUUGAUCCUGUGGUCCAGCCUGAAAACCCACUGGUGACCUACUCACACCUGCAGCUUCUCCACAAUGGAUGCCCAGUGUUCUUCAGCCUCCAGCGCCUAGACUGCAGCUUUGCAGGUGAAGUGUAGCCAGAAGAGAAAUGGUUGUGCCCAACUGAGCCUGGAUUCUCUCAAGGUUUAUUCCUUCACUUACUUCAAUUGGUGAAGUUUUGUUAUUCCACUGUCGCCAUUGGCUUGCUUGGUUUAGGACAUGUGGAACUGUGCAUCGGUGGCUUUGCUUUUCAGUGUUUGGACUUUCAGCAUUGAAAACUAAACCACACUGAACUGAAUUUAAUAAAUGUUAAGCUGCUUUGACACAAUCUACGUUGUAAAAGUGCUUUAGAAAUACAGAUGAAAUUAAUUGAAAUUGAAUUGAAUAUUCAACAUGUUCCCCUUUUUCUCAGAAAACAUAUUUAUAAAGGUGCUGUUGACGUGAAAUUUUCACCAGAUGUUGAUAACAAUUUGUAAAGUAAUUAGAUUUGUUUCCUAUUCAUAUAUUUUUUUUCUUUGGUUAUCAGGUCAAUAGCACCUUUUUAGAAAUCUGUUUUCUGAGACAAUUGGAAACGACUGGAAACAAUUCUGAGACAAUUGGAAACGAAAUACUUAUUUACCCGUGUGUGUGUGUGUGUACACUUGAACUCUUCUUCUCUCUCUCAUUAACAGCAAUAAAAAAUUGAAUACAGCAACUGAAUAAACAAUGGGGUGUGUUUUUUUUUUUUUUUUUUUUUUUUUUUUUUUUUUUUGUGGUUGAAUAGCAUUAAUACAAAAAGAGUGUGUGGAUAUUUAUAUAAAUGUACAUUCUUGAAUCAUUCUUGUGUCUUGACUCUCUAAAACCUUUACAACCUGGUUUUAAAUUAGUAACUGAAAAUGCUGAUCACAUUUGAUUUCAAUUUAUUUUCCCUUAUACUGAGCUAAUUAGUUCAAUGUAAUGGGGUUCAUCAAUAUACAGUAUUUUUCAAGGAAUUUGAGACUUAAGGUACUCAACUUUAUUUAUUCAUUUAUAUUUUAGGUGUAAAAUACCAGGCUGGCUAUGGGCCUGUAAACAAUAUAGGGAGUGUGUCAAGUUGUCACUGAAUGAAUGUGUGAAUAUAAAACCAAGUUAACCUUAAUAACUUACACGUUCACGUUUCAUUCUGAGCAUUCAGUGUCCACAGUUUGGUUAACCAUAUGUAACUAUUUUUGCUAAAAUAAUUUCUGCAAUCAAAAACGAGUAAUGUGUAUUAAUCAGCAUAGCGAGAACUUACCUGAUAUAACACGAGAACUGCAGGUCGUCACUUAAUUCAGCUCCCUUUAGCCAAAGACGUCUGCAGUUGCAUUAAAGCAGUGUGGUGUAUGGUAAAAGCAGAAUUAGGCAUCUAACCGCACAACACGGCAUCUUUACUAUUGCAGUCUGGUUUUUUUUUUUUUUUUUUUUGGCAACCGGGGACCCGUGUAACGUCACGUGUGACGUAGGUUGGUAAUUGGUCUAUAGAAAUGAUCAAAACAAUAUAGACUGAUCCCAACAAUAGUGUUAUCUGUGGAUCAGAUACGUAUGUCAUUGGCUACCUGCUCAAUGCAACCAAGGAUGGUGCUCAAUGUCAUGCAAGCUGGGGUGAGAUCAGCCAACGCUGCACUGAGACACCAGCUAAUCACCUGACGGCACUCUGUUACACACAACACAGUCUUCAGAAGAACAGUAAAAGAUCAAACGUAUCCCUGGGAAUUAUCCCUUAGUCUGGGAUAGGCUUGUAAGGUUUAGGAAAAGUCAAGGUUUUAAAGCUGCCAAAGUUUUCUGUUAUACCCUUCCUAAGGUAUAUUGUAUUUAGUUUUUUAGGGCAACAGUAUAUCCAGAAGAAAAUGAACCUCUACAUCAAAAGUUACUGGUCCUAAAUAUUUUAAAUGUUUGUUAAAAUAAAAUAUAUUAUGGUAAAUGG